rnacentral:rRNA from 1 species
GGUGGCUUGUCGCGUCUGCCGUGAAAACCCGAGGCUCAACCUCGGGCGUGCGGUGGGUACGGGCAGGCUAGAGUGUGGUAGGGGAGACUGGAACUCCUGGUGUAGCGGUGAAAUGCGCAGAUAUCAGGAAGAACACCGAUGGCGAAGGCAGGUCUCUGGGCCAUUACUGACACUGAGAAGCGAAAGCAUGGGUAGCGAACAGGAUUAGAUACCCUGGUAGUCCAUGCCGUAAACGUUGGGCACUACGUGUGGGGGACAUUCCACGUUUUCCGCGCCGUAGCUAACGCAUUAAGUGCCCCGCCUGGGGAGUACGGCCGCAAGGCUAAAACUCAAAGGAAUUGACGGGGGCCCGCACAAGCGGCGGAGCAUGCUGAUUAAUUCGAUGCAACGCGAAGAACCUUACCAAGGCUUGACAUGCACUGGACGGCUGCAGAGAUGUGGCUUUCUUUGGACUGGGUGCACAGGUGUUGCAUGGUUGUCGUCAGCUCGUGUCGUGAGAUGCUGGGUUAAGUCCCGCAACGAGCGCAACCCUCGUUCUAUGUUGCCAGCACGUGAUGGUGGGGACUCAUAGGAGACUGCCGGGGUCAACUCGGGGGAAGGUGGGGACGACGUCAAAUCAUCAUGCCCCUUAUGUCUUGGGCUUCAAGCAUGCUACAAUGGUCGGUACAAUGGGUUGCGAAACUGUGAGGUGGAGCGAAUCCCAAAAAGCCGGCCUCAGUUCGGAUUGGGGUCUGCAACUCGACCCCAUGAAGUCGGAGUCGCUAGUAAUCGCAGAUCAGCAACG